AACGAACGCUGGCGGCAGGCUUAACACAUGCAAGUCGAGCGAGACCUUCGGGUCUAGCGGCGGACGGGUGAGUAACGCGUGGGAACGUGCCCUUCUCUACGGAAUAGCCCCGGGAAACUGGGAGUAAUACCGUAUACGCCCUUUGGGGGAAAGAUUUAUCGGAGAAGGAUCGGCCCGCGUUGGAUUCGGUAGUUGGUGGGGUAAUGGCUCACCAAGCCGACGAUCCAUAGCUGGUUUGAGAGGAUGAUCAGCCACACUGGGACUGAGACACGGCCCAGACUCCUACGGGAGGCAGCAGUGGGGAAUCUUAGACAAUGGGGGCAACCCUGAUCUAGCCAUGCCGGGUGAGUGAUGAAGGCCUUAGGGUUGUAAAGCUCUUUCAGCUGGGAAGAUAAUGACGGUACCAGCAGAAGAAGCCCCGGCUAACUCCGUG
rnacentral:rRNA from 1 species